GUAACACAACAUGAUUUUAAUUGAAGAGUUUGAUCAUGGCUCAGAUUGAACGCUGGCGGUAGGCUUAAC
rnacentral:rRNA from 1 species